rnacentral:lncRNA from 1 species
GGGUGUGGCCCUAAAAAGGACAAAAGGACCCCCCCCAAAAAAAUGAUACAAAAGAACAUAUUCACACAACAGACUCCAAGAUUUCAAAACCAAAUUUAUGGUUACCAAAGGGAAACUUGGCGGAGGGGGGGGGAAUUAGGAGGUUUGGAUUAAUAUAUAUACACACUACUAGAAAUAAAAGAGAUAAGGAACAAGGACCCACUGAAUAGCCCAGGGAAAUCUACUCAAUAUUCUGUAAUAAUCUAUAUGAGAAAACAAUCUGAGAAGAAAUGGAUAUAUGUAUAUGGAGAACUGAUCCAGAUUGUUGUGCCCUUGAAUCUAACAAAACAUUGUAAGUCAACUAUGCUCCAAUAAAAUGUUUAAAAUAAAUAGAUAGGAGUUCCCAUUACAGCUCAGCAGUUAAUGAACCCGAUCAGUAUCCAUGAGGACUCGGGUUCCAUCUCUGGCCUCGCUCAGUGGGUUAAGGAUCGUUAAGGUCCCGGUGUUGCCGUGAGCUGUGGUGUAGGCCAGAGAAAAAAAGGUUCAGUGAGCUCUUAAGGACAGGCCCUAAUUUAGCGUGACUGACGUCUUUAUAAGAGGAGGAAAUCUGGACCCACAGAGACACCAGCGAUGUUCACACAGAGGAAAAGCCAUGGGAACACACAGGGAGGGUGGCCAGGGGCCUGUCUACAAGACGCCUUGGGAGAAAAACCAGACCUGCCGGCACCUUGACUUUGGACUAGCAGCCUCUAGAACGGUUGAGAAAAUAAAUUUCUGUUGUUUAGGCCACCCAAACUGUGGUAUUUUGGUAUGGCAGCCUGAAACCACUAAUACAGUGAGAAGUGAAGAAAAAAAAAAAGCUGUAUGAAAAAAUAAGGUCAGGACCCAAAAAAAAAGACGGCCAAUCAGCAAACCAUGCACAGGUAGGGGGUGGCAUCGUGGCAGAUCUAAGACGAUCGAUUGAAAGUGUAUGGACUGGAGUUCCCAUCGUGGCUCAGUGGUUAGCGAACCCGACUAGCAUCCAUGAGGUUUCGGGUUUGAUCCCUGGCGUGGCUCAGUGGGUUAAGGAUCCCGCGUUGCCGUGACCUGUGGUGUAGGUCUCAGAGGCGGCCUAGAUUCUGAGUUGCUGUGGCUGUGGUGUAGGCUGGCAGCUAUGGCUCCGAUUGGACCCCUAGCCUGGGAACCUCCAUAGGCCCUAAAGAGACAAAAAAGACCACACACACACACACACACACACACACACAAAGCAUAUGGACUAAGAGAGCUGUGAGUAGGAAGGAGGAAGCAGAAGAGUGCCCUGUGUUUAUCUAGCACUUUCUGUGAGAGGCUUGGAGGGCACAUAUGACAAUAAGGAAAAAGCCCUGCCUAGCCAGACUUCACAGGCCAGCAAAGGGGGAGAAACCUUCAACACGGGGAAAGUACCAAAGAGGAAGGCAAUAAUUAACCCCAAAAUGCCAUAAAGAAAUGAUGCCAAAGUGCCCUAAGGCUGCUAAUUACAAGGCUCAGCUCUGCAAGGAGGGGCUGGCAGGGAGGCUGGAACUGGAGGAGGCUCAGGACUGGCUGCAGGGGGACUGGGCUAAGGAGGCUCUCCCAGGGCAGGGAGGGGGCCCAAGGGAGAGAAAUGACCUGGAAAAGCGAAAGGAAGGCCAUCUAAAGAAGGCCGGGUCAGGCAGUCUGCUGGUGAUGCUAUCUUUGAACUUGUCCCUGUCGCCUGCAGAGAUAAAGUGCGUCAAAUCAGAGCCAAGCUGACGGAACCAGGUCAGAUGCGUUGAGGCCAGGCAUAGCACUCUAAGGCACCAACAUCAAAAAACAGGAGAGGACGUUAGAGAAAUACAGUGGGUAGCGAAUUUACAGCCUGCGCUGCGGGGGUCCGAGGUCAAAGGCAAGGCCACGGGAGAAGCCAGAGGAUUGAGGAAACUAAGAUGGGGCCUCUCUCUGCCCAUCUGGAUUGAACAGUGAAGAGGAAAUUCAAGGCUCACUGAGCCGGAGGGAUCCGGGCUCUGUUUCAAGGCCCAGGGUCUCAAGCCCCCUCCAGCAAAGAGACUGAGGAAACACAGCAGAAGGAGGAAAGCAAGCAUCACGGAAGAAUCCAAAAUGACACAAGGCUGGCCCUGGUGACUUCAAACAUCCUGGGAGAGGUUCGGGUACCAGAAGCUGAGCUGGUUCCGUAUCAACCUCACACUAUCACAGAAGCAGUGCUUUCUCAUCAAGCAACAAAUAACUGAAUUAAUUUUUAAAAUGCUUCUGUUCUGUACAUCAAAACACUGUUCUUCUCUAUUUUGGUUUGGUUUUCUUUUUUCCUUUUUGGCUGCCCCACGGCAUAUGGAGUUCGCAACGCCAGAUCCUUAACCCACUGAGCCAGGCCAGGAAUCGAAGCUGCGUCCCAGUGCUCUCAACACUUGGCAGAUCCCGUUGCGCCACAGCAGGAACUCCCUUGUCUGGUUUUUUGGUCCCACCUCUACUCCUCCUUUAUGGCCAGUGAAGGAGGAUGUGCAUGGGAGAAUAUUAAUAUACACAGAAAUCUGACUAUCAAGGCAUUUCCCUCUCGCUGAGUAAAAGCAAGAAACGCCAAAUUCUCACAGUUCCUCAACUUUCUUUUUGCGUAAACAAUCUCACUUGAUUUUUGAAUUACUUUGUGGGAACAGAUGGUUUCCAAAUGUCUGACUUCUGACUACAGUAUAUGAAAGCAAUACUACUGAACUCUGAAAUUAAGAUGAAGAAAACACAGACAUACUUCAAGCUUGCGUCUGUCUUGGCAGGCCUGGUUUUCUUGAAUGGAGGCUUACACGAAAGCCCGACCUUCUUAUUUUUCUUCUUUCUCGCUUUUUUUCCCCUUUCUCGUUAAACAAUUCACAUGACACACACAAAAAUGCAUCUGAAACAUCACAGCAACCGAAAAUUCUGCUCCAAAAAAUACUUACACACCACAAAAAAAGAGUAGCAAGAACAGAAGCCUCUAGACUUCCUAUAACUUAUACACAAAUAAAGGCAUCCAAUAUGUAAAUAUCUGGGUUUAGGGUCUUACAUCCUUAAACUUGUGAUGGACUCUAAAAGUACAGACUAUACUUUUAUCAUUUGAAAUAAACACAGCAAUUAACACCAAAUUACCUUUAUUCCAACAAGUGACACAAUCAUUCCAAGAGUCCACAAAUGGUGAUCUUGGUGGCAGUACCAGAGCUAAGCCCAAGCCAGUUUCCCCAGAUGUCUCUCUAAGGCAGACCUAAGUCUAAUUUUCCAAAAACCCAGCCAAAUCUGGAAAGGAGCAUCACAAACAGGUUUUUGUGAGGCGCAGACAAAAGUUCAAGUCAUGUGGUCUGUCUGAUGAACCCAUGACCACCUUAAGCAGAGCGGAGCGUUUCUGCCAUUUAAAUUGCCAAGUCUGCGGAAAAGCACACUCAAUACAGCACGUAGGGGGAUAUGACUUUGGGGAGCUAUUAAGAAAAAAGUACAGGCUGCCCAGCCUAAACAAAGUAAGUCUCUAUAUCUGUACUUCUAUCUGUAAAGACAUAGGCAGCAAUUGAAAAUUCUAGUGCAAAAGAACUUUCAUGCCACAAAAAAACUGUCGAAAUAACAGAUGCUGCUAGACUGCCUAUAAAUUAUACAGAAAUAAAAGCAUCGGACACAUAAAUACAGUUGGGUUUUAUUUUUUGGUUAAGCCACUCACAUAUCUACAUACAUAGAAAUAUAUGCCUAUAAAUACAGGGGAUAACUAUCCUUACAGGAAAUCAGUAGACCUAUAGAUACACCUAUAGAUAGAGAGACACAGGUAGAUAGAAGGAUAGAUAUGAAAAAAGGGGAAAAAUAGACGAGUACAGACAAAAGGAGGAAAUCACUUAUGUUUAAAUAAGUAGCGGUGAAGCUGUGUAACAGGAUAGAAAAGGCCUUUGUUCACACCAGCAGGACAGCAAGAGCAAGAGGAAGCUGACCGCUGCCCGGAUCAACAGCGACAUGAAUUUCAAAAGGUAUCUCUACCCUUGAAAUGCUCAUACCAAAGAAGUGCUAAACCACAACAUGAAAAAUUUAAGUUUGCAACAGAGGUCAAAAAAAAAAAAAUUUCUUAGCCGAUCAAACCAAAACAAAAAAACUUAGCCAAUAAUUGCAGUUAAAAAAUGUAAAUAGUGAGUUUGCCACAUUUUUGCCUAAUAAUCUGCGUGCACCCGAAAUCCAAGAAGUCAUGGUGACUAACACACUAUUAUCUGUUAGAAUCCUUUCAAUGCUGAAGGGCAAACCCUGGACUGACCUUUAUAAAUUGGCACAGAUCAAAAAUUCCCAGAGGUUUUUGUGGCCUACAGUUGUGUGCUCUUAUUCUAGAAACAUGAUUAGUGUGCUCCUGCCUUUUCAAUACAGAGCAGCCCAGAAUGCAGGCCAUGAGAACAGAGGUGUGAGAGGGGAGACGGUUUCAGCCACACACAGAAACGUGGCAGAGCGAGCCUAUCUGGACGUGGUUCAGGGCCAGCAAACGCGUGCAGUCUUAGUAGUCCUAGUAGCAUUAUCCUCUACACCUCACAAGGGAGGAACUGAUCAGUAAGAAAAAAAUAAUAGGAAUGCAAAGGAUGUGACUCAUUGUUUCUGAGUGAAGUGUUUAGAAUAUAUGUAAUGAAUAAAAGACAUUGAGGGAGUUCCCAUAGUGGCGCAGUGGUUAAGGAAUCCGACUAGGAACCAUGAGGAUGCGGGUUCGAUCCCUGGCCUCACUUAGUAGGUUAAGGAUCUGGCGUUGCUGUGAGCUGUGGUGUAGGUCACAGACAUGGCUCGGAUCUGGUGUUGCCCUGGCUCUGGUGUAGGUCGGCAGCUACAGCUCUGAUGAGACCCCUAGAAACCUGGGAACUUCCGUAUGCCGAUGAGGCCCUAGAAAAAGACCACACACACAAAAAAAAGGCCAUUUAAAUGAGAGUGAUUACCACCAUAAGCAAUCUUACACUCAUGACUAAUAAAUUUAAUUCAAUAGCAGAAACAAUUUGCCACUAGCUGUAACCACUACAGAUCAGACAUUCUAAGAAAGCAUAUGGGAUUUCAGGUUUCAUUAUCUUGGUAAUAAAAAAUCUUUAUGCUGAAAUUAUGGAAU